AACGCACGAGACCUGCGGACCUGCGGAGGGAUCAUUACCGAGUUAUCCAACUCCCAACCCCUGUGAAUUAUGCCUUUAAUUGUUGCUUCGGCGGGACUUCGCGCCCGCCGGGGACCCAAACCUUCUGAAUUUUUUAAUAAGUAUCUUCUGAGUGGUUAAAAAAAUGAAUCAAAACUUUCAACAACGGAUCUCU
rnacentral:misc_RNA from 1 species